UACAGAGGGUGCGAGCGUUGUCCGGAAUCACUGGGCGUAAAGGGCGCGUAGGUGGCUGGGUAAGCGUGUGGUGAAAGCCCGGGGCUCAACCCCGGGUCGGCCAUGCGAACUGCCCGGCUGGAGCACGGUAGAGGCCAAUGGAAUUCCGGGUGUAGCGGUGGAAUGCGUAGAGAUCCGGAAGAACACCGGUGGCGAAGGCGGCCUGCUGGGCAGUUGCUGACACUGAGGCGCGACAGCGUGGGGAGCAAACAGG
rnacentral:rRNA from 1 species